CUACGAAGGUCCCAAGCGUUAUUCGGAAUCACUGGGCGUAAAGAGUACGUAGGCGGUUUGGUAAGUCAGGUGUGAAAUCCCGAAGCUCAACUUCGGAACUGCAUCCGAUACUGCCAGACUUGAGUAAUGGAGAGGCAGGUGGAAUUCCCGGUGUAGCAGUGAAAUGCGUGGAUAUCGAGAGGAAGACCAAUGGCGAAGGCAGCCUGCUGGACAUUUACUGACGCUGAGGUACGAAGGCUAGGGGAGCGAAAGGGAUUAGAAACCCCGGUAGUCC
rnacentral:rRNA from 1 species